rnacentral:lncRNA from 1 species
CGAAACCUUGAGUUAGAGUCAAUAAUUAGGAUUUCAAACCUAUUAGCAUUUCUAAAUCUCAAAGACCAUAAAAAAAAACUGAUCUUCUUUCCCUUAAUUCCAUCAUCAUACACAAAUCCACCACAUCAUAUUUAAUAAUAACAACCAUAGUCAAGCGAUCAUUAUGCAAAUAAGUAAGGGGUUGAGUUCGGACCUUGACCGGAAACACCGUUAGCGGUGGUGCAGUGGCGUUCAGGAUGAACAACGAUGAGAAGAUCGGUUGAGAGAGGCGGCGCGCGACUGGUGCAAAGAGGAGGACGUCGUGGUUGAUCGCGUAGGUCUUCGAAGUAUCAUCUUCUCUUCUUCCAAUCGUUGUUGAUGCUGCUGCGGGUUUUUAUUUUAUUUUUCUCUUACAGUAAUUUUCCUUGGUUUCCAAUUGGAUCUCCCUUUCUUCUUCCUAUUCUAUCUUUUUAUAAUAAAAAACGAUUUUAGGAAUUGAUUUUGAUUGUUG